GCUGCGACGGCGGGAGAUUUGGCGCCUUGCGGAUCCUUGUCACCGGAUGCGAUAAUUUGCCAGCGUGUUAACUGUUGUGAUAGAUGGAAAACGGUAGUCAGUGCGCGUAAUAAAUCAUCAGAAACAGCAGACAUGACUAUUGACCGUAGGGCCCUGGGGAGUGUUGUAGACGAGGGUCCUUGGAGACACGGGGCUGCGGAUGAUGGACUCUGGAGCAACACACAGUCUGCUGGAGGAGCUCAGUAGGUCGAGCAGCAUCUGUCCGAGGAAAACAAUUGGGGAUGUUUCGGGUCCUGAUGCAGGGUUGCGAGAUCAUGGUGCGGUUGUACAAGAAGCUGAUUCUUUGUCAGGAUUUUGGAGAUACAAGAUACCAGGAGUCUGCUUAGGUGGGAUUCCUGGAUAAAUUCUCUGGAAAAGGCUGUUCCCAGGGACACACACCGAGUCAAACAUCAAGUGCUGCUGGAAGAUCGUCAACUCAGUGAAAGACACACAUUGAUCUGCCCAAAACUUGGUGUUCCAGUACAACGAGAUGUCCUCAGGAGAAUGCUGCUGACUGGCACAUUCCAGGCUGUAGGAGUACAUUCUGAGGGACACACUGAAGCACAGUGCAGUCACUGCAAAGGCUGAGGGGAAGGACUGCAAGGGAAGAUCCCACUGCCAUUAGAUACUGAGGAGCUGAGUCCUAUGUAACAGCCCCACCAACACUGGAUGGACGCAUUGUUCAAAGAGGCCACGGGAGUGGCAUUGGUGCCUUGUAUACAGAAUGUGUUAACUUGAUGACACUAUGAAUGUAACUAAAGAACACAUCGAUUGUUUUGGA